ensembl:lncRNA
GCCAUGAAAGUCCACUCUCAAAACCUCAUAUGUAUUUUGGUGGCGACAGUGGUUGCAGAGGCCUGAGCCUUGGCUUUCCAAAUCACUGACUGCUUUUAUUCCCCUCUCUUUAGCUUCUUUCAAAGUGGGAUCAGUUGCAGAAGCAAGAGUCGGAUGAGACUCUAGAUCGUGGCCAGAAUUUGUAUCAUCAUCUCAAAUAGAUUGACCCCUUCAAGUUGGUUGCUUGGUCUGAGUGGAAGAUAUUYCCAGAUAAUGCAUUUGUCUGAAUUUGCACAGUUGAAUGGUGGGGAGCACAGAGCCAUGGCGGGAAAAAGAAUGAAGAACAAUUAGAAGAUGYGAUAUCCAGGGAGCAGCAUGGGAAAUUCAGCCAGAGCUGAAGAUUGCCCAACUCCACAUCUUGUGGCUAAAGACCCAGCUGCCUGCUGCCAUUCUCACCAUUAUGCCUCGUGCUGAAAGGAAGCAACUGCUUUGUGAAGUCAGUGGAAAUACGCCAGCSCUCAACCAGCUGGAGACCUGGCCCACGCUUGGCUUCAGCUGAGCGGACUUCAAGCUCUCCUGUCUUGGCUUCAUAAACUGGCUCUGCAGAAGCUGACCUGGAUUGAUUUCCUCUUUACAAAGAGAAGCGGAUYGUGGUUGGAUUUCCUGACGUUUCUGCAGGUUGUGUGGGUGCAACUCCUAUUCGCUUCAGACUAUGGCCACGGAGGAAGUUCAGACCUGUGCUCCAGAGUCACCAUGAGCUUGGUCUGCUUUAGGCUGUUCUGCUCUGCGUGGCUGGCUGGUGAGCCUCGCUGCCCCAGCAGCCCUGGCUGCUCAUCCUUUCUGAGCCAGCAAGCGUAACUGCCAGUAGUCAGAUGGACGUGUUAAGGCUGGGAAGGACUCUUCAGCUUUCCGAAUUCACCCUUGAAUGUUUUGGAUGUCCAGAUCUGGAUUGUCAUUCUGAUUUGAGCCUGUCAUUGCCUGGAGAUGAGUCGAAUCCCAUUCGUAGGUGGCUGAAAAACACCUAAGGGACAGGUAG